rnacentral:lncRNA from 1 species
GGAGGCGCCUGGAGUGCAGGCGAGCUGAGCUCUGGCCUCUGCUCUCCACCUCUUCCCUCUCCGAGCUGAGCCCGCUGAUGGAGCACGGGGCCAGGGCUGGCUCUCAAAAAGCCUCUGGUCCCCUGUAGCCUGGUCCCCAGAGAGGGAGAGGCCCGUGCCCAGCAAAACUCUGCUGGGCCCUGCCAGCUCCCCACACCCCAUCAUGCCUCUGCUGGACGUGUUUUGGGCUUGCUUCAGGAAAGUGAAGUGCUUCCCAUUGCUGCAGGGGAGGAAGAAUGCCGCUGUAACAAUCCCACGUUGUGGCAGCCUGAUCAACAGCCACUUUUCAUGAGGCUGGAUGGGAGCCCUGAACCACCAGGCAGCAGUCCUUUGCCCUCCCACGCCUGACUGGUUGGCUUUCG